rnacentral:rRNA from 1 species
CUCGUAGGUGGCCAACUAAGUCGGACGUGAAAUCCCUCGGCUUAACCGGGGAACUGCGUCUGAUACUGGAUGGCUUGAGUUCGGGAGAGGGAUGCGGAAUUCCAGGUGUAGCGGUGAAAUGCGUAGAUAUCUGGAGGAACACCGGUGGCGAAGGCGGCAUCCUGGACCGACACUGACGCUGAGGAGCGAAAGCCAGGGGAGCAAACG